UACGGAGGGUGCGAGCGUUGUCCGGAAUCACUGGGCGUAAAGGGCGCGUAGGCGGCUUCUCAAGCGUGUGGUGAAAGUCCGGGGCUCAACCCCGGAUCGGCCGUGCGGACUGGGGAGCUCGAGUUCUGUAGAGGCGGGUGGAAUUCCGGGUGUAGCGGUGGAAUGCGUAGAGAUCCGGAAGAACACCGGUGGCGAAGGCGGCGAUCUGGGUCGAUACUGACGCUGAGGUGCGAAAGCGUGGGGAGCAAACAGG
rnacentral:rRNA from 1 species